AUAAAUGAAUGGGCCAUCCUGAAAGCUGCUCGAGCUGAGGAGGUCUGAGUUGAUUGGUGGGCGUGGUUAAGGAUAAUGGCCAAUUUACACAGUGCGAAUCAAGGAAUAUCAAUGGACUGUCUUUCCUAAUGUCUUUGAGUGGCUGUCCAUCUUUCACCAUCAAUGGGGACUUCUUGUACUCAAUCCUGGCCUGUCUAAGGCUCACCUAAUCGAUUACAACUUGCAAUGAACUUGGAUGUAAAAUAAUAAAGUCUUAUUCUUUCUUUGGUGAUGGGCAUCUUUUAUCAAGAUGUACUGCUUAUACUGUAUCUAAUACAUCAAAAGUUCCAAUUUUACUAUAAUGUAUAAAUAUUUAGCAGUUGUUUAUUUGUUACUGUAUAAUUUUUGUUUUAAUAAUAAUGAUCUUUCAACUAGUAAGAGUGAAGCACUGGAGUAAGCAGUAGCAUUGCUCUGACACCAGGUCCACUUCUUUCUUUGUUGGUCAUGAGCAAAUAAAAAAAAUUAGAAAAUAAACAAUAAAAAGUAAGAAAAUAGUCCAAAAAUAUUGCCACACUCUCAGAAGAAAUCAGAAGAAAUUCCAAAAUAAAAGUAAUCUGAAAAUAUCCCCAUGCUGUCUAAACAAAUCAGAAAAAAUGGAAAAUAAAAACCCGGCGGCGUUGGAAAAAAUUGGAAAAAAUUCUAAAUAUUAGAAAUAAUAAUCCAAAGGUGCUCCCAAGCUAUUUGCAAAAAACAAUUCUGGCAGUGUCGAAAAAAAAUUGUAAAAAUUCUAAAAAUCAGAAAUAAUAAUCUGAAUGCGCUUCCAAGCUAUUGGCAAAAAAUAAAAAAAUAAAAAAAUAAUUAAAUAAUACAAAAAUUCCGGCGGCAUCAGAAAAAAUUGGAAAAAUUCUAAAAAUCAGAAAAUAAUGAUUCAAAGGUGCUCCCAAGCUUUGGGCAAAAUAUAAUAAAUCAUAAAAAAAAAAAAAAAUUCCGGCAGCGUCGAAAAAAAUUCUAAAAAUCAGAAGUAAUAAUCGGAAUGCGCUCCCAAGCUAUCGGCCCAAAAAAAA